rnacentral:rRNA from 1 species
UGAGGAAUAUUGGUCAAUGGACGAGAGUCUGAACCAGCCAAAUCGCGUGAAGGAAGACUGCCCUACGGGUUGUAAACUUCUUUUGUACAGGAAUAAAAGACAUUACGUGUAAUGUAUUGCAUGUACUGUACGAAUAAGCAUCGGCUAACUCCGUGCCAGCAGCCGCGGUAAUACGGAGGAUGCGAGCGUUAUCCGGAUUUAUUGGGUUUAAAGGGUGCGCAGGCGGGAUUUUAAGUCAGCGGUGAAAUUUUCAGGCUCAACCUGAACACUGCCGUUGAAACUGGGAUUCUUGAGUAUGGAUGAAGUAGGCGGAAUUCGUUGUGUAGCGGUGACAUGCUUAGAUAUAACGAGGAACUCCGAUUGCGUAGGCAGCUUACUAAGCCAUAACUGACGCUCAAGCACGAAAGCGUGGGGAUUAAACA